GGGGACUUGGUGUAGCCCGGUGGCACAGCAGGCUCCAGACCUGUUAAUCGGGGGUUCAAAAUUAAGCUUGAUAUCCAAGCUUUUUGGAUUUCCCUCAGUCCCCA
rnacentral:tRNA from 1 species